UACGUAGGGCGCAAGCGUUGUCCGGAAUUAUUGGGCGUAAAGAGCUCGUAGGCGGUGUGUCGCGUCGGAUGUGAAAGCCCGGGGCUUAACCCCGGGUCUGCAUUCGAUACGGGCAGACUGGAGUGUGGUAGGGGAGAUCGGAAUUCCUGGUGUAGCGGUGAAAUGCGCAGAUAUCAGGAGGAACACCGGUGGCGAAGGCGGAUCUCUGGGCCAUUACUGACGCUGAGGAGCGAAAGCGUGGGGAGCGAACAGA
rnacentral:rRNA from 1 species